rnacentral:rRNA from 1 species
UUAAAUUGAAGAGUUUGAUCAUGGCUCAGAUUGAACGCUGGCGGCAGGCCUAACACAUGCAAGUCGAACGGUAACAGGAAGCAGCUUGCUGCUUUGCUGACGAGUGGCGGACGGGUGAGUAAUGUCUGGGAAACUGCCUGAUGGAGGGGGAUAACUACUGGAAACGGUGGCUAAUACCGCAUAACGUCGCAAGACCAAAGAGGGGGACCUUCGGGCCUCUUGCCAUCAGAUGUGCCCAGAUGGGAUUAGCUGGUUGGUGAGGUAACGGCUCACCAAGGCGACGAUCCCUAGCUGGGCUGAGAGGAUGACCAGCCACACUGGAACUGAGACACGGUCCAGACUCCUACGGGAG